UACGUAGGGUGCAAGCGUUAAUCGGAAUUACUGGGCGUAAAGCGUGCGCAGGCGGUUUUGUAAGUUUGUCGUGAAAUCCCCGGGCUCAACCUGGGAAUGGCGAUGAAGACUGCAAGGCUAGAAUCUGGCAGAGGGGGUAGAAUUCCACGUGUGAGCAGUGAAAUGCGUAGAGAUAGUGGGAGGAACACCGAUGGCGAAGGC
rnacentral:rRNA from 1 species